UAGCUUUAAGUUUUAUAUUUAAGGUUUUACCUGCCCGGUGAUAAUUUAACGGCCGCAGUACUUUGACUGUGCUAAGGUAGCAUAAUAAAUUGGCUUUUAAUUAAAGUCGGGUAUGAAAGGGAUUUUGGAAAGUAGCUGUCUUAAGUAUAUAUUAUUUUAAUUUAAUUAAUAGGUGAAAAUUCCUAUAAUUAUUACAUUAGACGAGAAGACCCUAAGAGUUAUAAUUAAAAUGAAUUUAUUUCAUAUUUCAUUUUUGUUGGGGCAACAAUGACUGGAAAAAACCGUCAAGUUAAAAAAAAUUCAUAACCAAUAUAUUAAAAAAGAAGUAAACUACCUUAGGGAUAACAGCAUAAUUAAUUUUUAGAUUGUGACCUCGAUGUUGGAUUAAGGCCUUUAUUUACUAGCCGUAAAUAAAGAUAGUUCUGUUCGAACUGUUGUACCUU
rnacentral:rRNA from 1 species